rnacentral:tRNA from 1 species
UACAAGAUGGCUGAGGAAAUAGGCGGAAGACUGUAGAUCUUUUUACGGAAUAGAUUAUCCUCUUGUAA